rnacentral:rRNA from 1 species
GAGCGAACAGACGAGGAGCUUGCUCCUCUGACGUUAGCGGCGGACGGGUGAGUAACACGUGGAUAACCUACCUAUAAGACUGGGAUAACUUCGGGAAACCGGAGCUAAUACCGGAUAAUAUAUUGAACCGCAUGGUUCAAUAGUGAAAGACGGUUUUGCUGUCACUUAUAGAUGGAUCCGCGCCGCAUUAGCUAGUUGGUAAGGUAACGGCUUACCAAGGCGACGAUGCGUAGCCGACCUGAGAGGGUGAUCGGCCACACUGGAACUGAGACACGGUCCAGACUCCUACGGGAGGCAGCAGUAGGGAAUCUUCCGCAAUGGGCGAAAGCCUGACGGAGCAACGCCGCGUGAGUGAUGAAGGUCUUCGGAUCGUAAAACUCUGUUAUUAGGGAAGGACAAAUGUGUAAGUAACUAUGCACGUCUUGACGGUACCUAAUCAGAAAGCCACGGCUAACUACGUGCCAGCAGCCGCGGUAAUACGUAGGUGGCAAGCGUUAUCCGGAAUUAUUGGGCGUAAAGCGCGCGUAGGCGGUUUUUUAAGUCUGAUGUGAAAGCCCACGGCUCAACCGUGGAGGGUCAUUGGAAACUGGAAAACUUGAGUGCAGAAGAGGAAAGUGGAAUUCCAUGUGUAGCGGUGAAAUGCGCAGAGAUAUGGAGGAACACCAGUGGCGAAGGCGACUUUCUGGUCUGUAACUGACGCUGAUGUGCGAAAGCGUGGGGAUCAAACA